UACGUAGGGGGCAAGCGUUGUCCGGAUUUAUUGGGCGUAAAGGGUGCGUAGGCGGUUUGGUAAGUCUUGUGUGAAAUCUUCGGGCUCAACUCGGAGACGCCACUCGAUACUGCUAUGACUCGAGUCCGGUAGGGGAGUGCGGAAUUCCUGGUGUAGCGGUGAAAUGCGCAGAUAUCAGGAGGAACACCGGUGGCGAAGGCGGCACUCUGGGCCGGUACUGACGCUGAGGAGCGAAAGCGUGGGGAGCGAACAGG
rnacentral:rRNA from 1 species